UUUCCUCCGAGUCCAAUCCCGAAUGAUGCAACUCAGGAGAUGGUGGAAAGUUCAGGUGGCUCCCAUGCAACGAUGAUGAUAUCCAACAACAAUCUUCCUCAUCAGCCAAUGGACAUCGAUCUGUCUCCUCAAGGAUGUAAAAAAGGCACUGCUGAUAUUCCAACGGAAGAGUCUGUUGAUAUCACAUCUCAUGAAUCUAAUGCUGAUCCUAUUAGUGCUCCUUUACUCCCUUCUUUUGACUCUGAAGUUGUUUCUGAAAAGGAUGCUAUGAACCUCAUCUCCCUUAAAAGUGGUAGCGAAGAUGAUGACAAGGACAAAUAAUACAACCAAGAGGAAGACAAAGACAAAGAUCACAACAUUGUUGUAGAAUAUAAUAAUAAUAAUAAUAAUAAUAAUAAUAAUAAUAAUAAUAAUAAUUAUUAUUAUAAUUAUUAUUAUUAUUAUUAUUAUUAUUAUAAUUAUAAUAAUAAUAAAUUUCAGAAUUGAUAUAUUGAAUAAUAAGUUUGACCUGAAUUACAUGAUGUACAAAAUCUUGUACUUAUCCCCGUCAUUAUGAUUCUAGUAUAGAUUUUGAACUUUUGGUUUAGAAAAAUUAUCAAUAUAAAAAGUUCGAUAAAUAUAAGAAAUUUAGACCUGAGAAAUGAGGAGAGAGUUACUCAAGAAGAAGGACAUCGCACCUGACUGCAACCUCCGGGUAGCUGGCUCUUCAAAGUUUCCUCUCAAACAUAUCCUAAGCUCUCUCGCAACCAAUUUAUCCCCUUUGAUCUUUGUCUUUUCUCUCAUAUCCUUACAAACUUCUUCAGUACAUGUUGUAAACACAACCUUGGAUCGAUUAUGUGCAUUAGGUAGCGGAAUUCCAGAUUUCACCGUAUAUAAAAUAAAUGAUAAACUGCUGUUACAAAUAAACCAUAUAAAUACUAAAUUUCUUGUAUGGAAAGUAACUGAUUUAGAACACUUACCAAGAUCAAAUUUCUCCCAAACAUCAUCAAGAAACAAAAUAAACCGUGUCUUAAUAUCUCAAUGAUCUUUGCAGCUUUCUCUCUUUUUUUGGUAGAAAAGAUAUAUAUAUAUAUAUAUUUUUUUUUUGGUAGAAAAUAUAUACAUAUAUAUAUAUAUAUUAAAUAAACUUUACAUCUUAAUUAAAUUCAUAUAAUAAAAUUUACCUCAUUUACAUAAUUCCCUCGCAGGGAAAAUAUCGUAUCAAACAUUACUGGAGUGAAAGACGAAACAAGACCCAAAGUGUCAUCAUUCAGAUUGAAAGCGAAGAAGGCCAUCCUGACGAUGGUUUUCGCUGGAGAAAAUAUGGUCAAAAGUUGUCACAAAGAAUGCAAAUCCAAGGUUAUAUAUUUCGUUCACUUCAAAAUUAGUCAGACAUUUUUGGAAAAAUAUUAUAUAUUUAUUUUGGUAAUCACAGGAGUUACUACAGAUGCACAUACACUGGGUGUAAGGUGACGAAGCAUGUGGAGAGAAGCGUAGACAAUGUGAAUUUAGUGGUGGCUAUGUACGAUGGGAUACAUGAGCACGUUCCACCACCUGAACGCAUAAGCAAAUCCAGUACAAAGAAUAAAUCCGGUCGCAAUGUCUCAAGAUCCUAGCAUGCAAACCCUUGUGUUAGGUAUGCCGCCUUAUUCCUCUUCGGCCUCUCAGCUUUUCCCUUCUGCCUUGGCCCCACAACUGAAUGUGACAAGUUUACAGGUUGACAAGAAUCAUGGUGUUAUGAACCGGAAUGAUGAACCGAAUAUUGAUCCUGUGAUACCCGACGGUACAGAGGUAUCCGAGGGGAUAAGGGAGCGACUAUUUCGUAACUUUGGUAUCGAACUUUAGAUGGGAAAACAUUAACCAAAAGAUAAAAAAGAAAGAUGUAAACCCUUUAUAAUUAAUAAAUCCUUAUCUUAUAAUUACAAAUAAUAAUGACCAAAGAUAUACAAAAUCUUGUACUUAUCCAUUUCAUUAUGGUUUUAGUGCAUAUUACUCUUGAGUUGACCUAUUUAUUCUCCAAUUGUUACAGUGUUACUGUGUUAGGAUGGUUAAUCCAGAUAAUAAACUAUAUGUAUAUGUGAACUAUAUAAAUCAAACCGACAUCCAGUGAUACAGAAGAAAAACUAAACCCUGACUAUAAUCCAAUUAAACAGAUUGUUUACGCUCAUGCUCAUCCUCUUUUUAAGUGAGUAUCACUUUUACUCUUGCCAUUAUAUUAGCUUUUUGGAGCCAAGUUUCUCAUGAGAAAGUUGGAUUAAGAGUGUAGCAAACUUUAGAUUGUAGGUCAUAUUAAAUAAUGAGAAGUGUACAAGUGAGUAUAAAUAUAUACAAGUGUUUGAUCAUAUCUCUCCAGCAUUUGUUUGAGUAAAUUUCAGGAGUUUCUUUAUUGUUUUUACUAAUUUUUUUAAAGAGAGAGAAAGAAAAACGAAACAAAGCAUAUCCUAAGCAAACAAAUCUCUUUUAUUUAGGUAAUCUAAUCUCCAGGAUUAAAAGUUAGCUUUCUGAUUGUAAUAUAUUAAAGUGGUCUAAACAACAAAUGACCAGUCUUUGACUUGCUAUUACCCAUUGAAAUAACAAAGACCAGAAGGAUGAUAAACCAAAGGAGUCAAUUCCUAUCCAAAAAGACUCAACCCAUGGACGUUAUAACAAGUAUACCCAAUGCAGCUAUGAGAAGAUACUGCAAGAAGAAGAUUAAAAAAAUGACACAGAGUGUUCAUUGUGGAUUGGACAUAGAGUGAGAAAAGAGAAUGUAUUAACCUAGAUGAUAGGCUUUUCUGUCAUGAUUAUAGUCACCCAUCCAACAUAAGGCAAGAAGCUGAAGCAGGCACAAAGGUAAAACCAUUUAUGAGUAACUACAGCUUUUGGUUUACUUUACACACUAUACACUUAUGUGAUUAAAGUAAAUUAAUUAUCCUACAGCACGACUCAUUACAUGAUGUCGAUGAAGCCAAAGCUGACCUUUAGCAUAGAGAAUUCUAUCAUGGUCAAGGUUAUUGUCACCUGUAAACAAUAGAAAUGAAAAUGUAAAUGGGCGUUGAAUGAUAACAAUAUGAUAAACAACUCACACUCAAUUCAAAUAAAUAAAACCAGAACCUUUGGUCAAAACAACGAUUUCUCCAGUACUUUCCCUUUCGUGAACCUGUAAUGUAAUGAACCCCCAAAGAAUCAGAAUCAUCUAGGUGCUACAAUCUAAGCACAGGGAGAUGAUAAUGAGGAGAUCUAUAGAAAAAGUUACCUUAAUGACACGAUGGACAAUUGGAAUAUCACGACCCUGAAAAGAGAAGCAUGAAUAAAAAUACAAAUGAGGUGAAAGGUUCAUGCAUAAGUAA